UCCACUCUACCUAGAGACAUC
ensembl:piRNA 21ur-10729 ncRNA